AUCCCACAAUAAAGCCCCUCUCCUGUUGCUCUCCUGCCAGUGUGAUUAGCAAUGGAGGUCUUUGACCCAGGCAGUCACCACUCUCAAGGAACAAGUCUCCAUGAAGAAGCUGUUAGGCAUCUGCCUUUACUCAAGACAUCCUCUGUCUACCCUGGCAGUUACCCUGGAUGGUUUUGCUGUCGUGAUUAAAACACAGAUGGAGCUCAUCCCUUCCCUGGGUGUUUGAUUGGCAGACUCUCUGUGAUCAGCACUCUUCUCUGUUGAACACAUCAGCGCCAUCUGCCUUCCGUCUGCCUGGAGAGACUUGCCACAGUAGAGCUUCUUCAGCCUCACAUGAACCAGUGCAAAUGAUGUGCGUUCCUUUUGCUGAAGCCAUCAAAUAAAAAAGCUUUUUCAAGAAAAGCAAAAUAGAAUAUGUGAAGAUGCUCAUGACAGUAGGCUUCCAGAUUAAUGAAAUAUUCAUUUAAAUUGGACUUGGAGGAUAUGUCAUUUCUUUUCUUUGAUUAAAAUAUUUAGAGCAUAACACAAAAUCACUGUGUCUUGAAAAAGCCAAACUCCAAGGAAAUUCAGCUGAUGGGGCGUCUUGUUUUCAGUGAGGUUGUUUAAGAUGAUUUCAAACCAGGGUCAGGUGCUUGGAACCAUUAGGUGAAUGUUAGGGGUAGUGGCAGCCCUCUUGUGUGCUCAAGACUUUAAGAGAUUGAACCCAAUAAAUAGUAAGAUUCUUCAAAGAGAAUGCUAAUUUUAAUGUUUUAUGACUGAAAUAGAUUGUAGUAAAUUAUUACUUCCUAAUUUAGAUGUUGGUAUGAAGAAUGGGCAGAAGCAUGUCCUUUCUCCACAUCAACAUUGUAUGAGUACAGAGUGUAACUUGAGUGCUUUAGAAAAGGAUACUUCUAAGGUAUUAGAUGACUGGACACAGUGACAUUGGAAGACUGGACACAGUGACAUUAGGAGGAGGAAGAGAAUUAUUGGGCCGUUCGAAAAUUAGCCAUGUGAGGAACUGGUUCAACCUUAAUUGCCUAAGUGUGUAAGAAAUAUAGUUGUAUUGUGCUUAAUAAUGUGAAUUAUCUGUAUCAUUAAAUAACAGGAAAGCAGUUUGAGUUUCUUAUUCCUGUCCAAAUAAAUAAAUAAAUAAAUAAAUAUAAUUAAC
rnacentral:lncRNA from 1 species